rnacentral:rRNA from 1 species
UGAAGAGUUUGAUCAUGGCUCAGAUUGAACGCUGGCGGCAGGCUUAACACAUGCAAGUCGAGGGGUAACAGAGUAGCUUGCUACUGCUGACGACCGGCGCACGGGUGCGGAACGCGUAUGGAACCUGCCCCUGUCAGGGGAAUAGCCCAGGGAAACUUGGAUUAAUGCCCCAUGGUAUCGUUUUAUCGCAUGAUAUUACGAUUAAAGAUUUAUCGGACAGGGAUGGCCAUGCGUACCAUUAGUUAGUUGGUGAGGUAACGGCUUACCAAGGCAGCGAUGGUUAGGGGCCCUGAGAGGGGGAUCCCCCACACUGGUACUGAGACACGGACCAGACUCCUACGGGAGGCAGCAGUGAGGAAUAUUGGACAAUGGAGGCAACUCUGAUCCAGCCAUGCCGCGUGAAGGAAGACUGCCCUAUGGGUUGUAAACUUCUUUUAUAGAGGAAGAAACGUGAAUACGUGUAUUCAUUUGACGGUACUCUACGAAUAAGGAUCGGCUAACUCCGUGCCAGCAGCCGCGGUAAUGCGGA